rnacentral:rRNA from 1 species
CCUACGGGUGGCAGCAGUGAGGAAUAUUGGUCAAUGGACGAGAGUCUGAACCAGCCAAGUAGCGUGAAGGAUGACUGCCCUAUGGGUUGUAAACUUCUUUUAUCUGGGAAUAAAAUGUUCCACGUGUGGGAUUUUGUAUGUACCAUAUGAAUAAGGAUCGGCUAACUCCGUGCCAGCAGCCGCGGUAAUACGGAGGAUCCGAGCGUUAUCCGGAUUUAUUGGGUUUAAAGGGUGCGUAGGUGGAUUGUUAAGUCAGUUGUGAAAGUUUGCGGCUCAACCGUAAAAUUGCAGUUGAAACUGGCAGUCUUGAGUAGAGUAGAGGUGGGCGGAAUGCGUGGUGUAGCGGUGAAAUGCUUAGAUAUCACGAAGAACUCCGAUUGCGAAGGCAGUUCACUGGACUGCAACUGACACUGAGGCUCGAAAGUGUGGGUAUCAAACAGGAUUAGAUACCCCGGUAGUC